CCUACGGGUGGCAGCAGUGAGGAAUAUUGGUCAAUGGGCGCAAGCCUGAACCAGCCAUGUAGCGUGAAGGAUGACUGCCCUACGAGUUGUAAACUGCUUUUGUACAAGGGUAAAGGGAGGCACGCGUGCCUUUUUGUAAGUACUUUAUGAAUAAGGAUCGGCUAACUCCGUGCCAGCAGCCGCGGUAAUACGGAGGAUUCGAGCGUUAUCCGGAUUUAUUGGGUUUAAAGGGUGCGUAGACGGGUUGUUAAGUCAGUUGUGAAAGUUUGAGGCUCAACUGUAGAAUUGCAAUUGAUACUGGCAGUCUAGAGAACAGUUGAGGUAGGCGGAAAGUGUGGUGUAGCGGUGAAAUGCUUAGAUAUCACAAAGAACUCCGAUUGCGAAGGCAGCUUACCAAGCUGCCUCUGACAUUGAUGCACGAAAGUGUGGGUAGCAAACAGGAUUAGAUACCCUUGUAGUC
rnacentral:rRNA from 1 species